UACGUAGGGGGCUAGCGUUGUCCGGAAUCAUUGGGCGUAAAGCGCGUGUAGGCGGUCCGGUAAGUCCGCUGUGAAAGUCGGGGGCUCAACCCUCGGAUGCCGGUGGAUACUGUCGGGCUUGAGUACGGAAGAGGCGAGUGGAAUUCCUGGUGUAGCGGUGAAAUGCGCAGAUAUCAGGAGGAACACCUAUGGCGAAGGCAGCUCGCUGGGACGGUAUUGACGCUGAGACGCGAAAGCGUGGGGAGCGAACAGG
rnacentral:rRNA from 1 species